GUGCUCACUUCAGCAGCCUAUAUACUAAAAUUGGAACAAUACAGAGAAGAUUAACAUGGGCCCCUGAGAAAUGAUAACACCCAAAUUUGUGAAGAGUUCCAUUAUUGA